rnacentral:rRNA from 1 species
AUGAUCCGCCAGUAUCCACGCCACCGCCACCUGGCAGAGCAUCAUGGCUACGCCGCCGGCGAGGAACAAGAACCUGCGGCCAGCACGGUCGACGACGAAGGUGGACACGACGACGGCGAACAAGUUGACCAGGCUAAGUAUGACGGAGCCCAGGAUCGCCUUCUGGCUGUCGAACCCCACGGUCCGGAACAGCACUGGCGAGAAGACGGUGAUGACGAUCAUGCCGGUGAGGUCGAAGAAAGUGGGGAUGGCCACCAUCAUCACCAGGUAGUGCCGGUACCCCUUGCCGCGCAGCCGCUCGAACGCGCCCUCGUCGUUCCGGCGAGCCUCCUCCACGGCGAGGACGAUGUCCUUGAACUCGUCGCCCACGUCGGCGUCCGCCCCGCGGAUGCGCUGGAGCGCCGCGCGCGCCCUGUCGGGAUCUCCGCGCAGCACGAGGCUGCUGGGAGUGUCGGGGACGAAGAGGGCGCCCAGCACAACGACGAUGGCCGGCACGCCGGCCAGGCCGAGGGAGACCCGCCAGCCCCAUCCCGGAAUGCGGUUGGUGAAGUAGUUGGCGACGGUCGCCGCCAGCGUGCCGAUGACAAGGAAGACGUGGUAGGCGGUGGUGAAGGCGCCGCGCCACUUGGCUGGCGAUGUCUCGGCGAGGUACAGCGGAGCCGCCUGCGGUCAACGGACCCAUCCGAGCAGCAUCCGGCCGACGAUGAGCAUGGCGAUGUUCACGGCGGCGGCGUUGACGGCGGAGCCGGCAAGGAACAGGGCGCCGCCGGUGAGCAUGACGGCCUGGCGGCCCACCCUCCUGGUCACCCGGCUCGCCACCAGCGACGACAGCACGCCGGCGAUGUACAGCGAGGAGGUGAACGCCGUUAG